rnacentral:rRNA from 1 species
UACGUAGGGUGCAAGCGUUUAAUCGGAAUUACUGGGCGUAAAGCGUGCGCAGGCGGUUUUGUAAGUCUGUCGUGAAAUCCCCGGGCUCAACCUGGGAAUUGCGAUGGAGACUGCAAGGCUGGAGUCUGGCAGAGGGGGGUAGAAUUCCACGUGUAGCAGUGAAAUGCGUAGAGAUGUGGAGGAACACCGAUGGCGAAGGCAGCCCCCUGGGUCAAGAUUGACGC